UAUAUUUGCAACUUGAAAGAAAAUCUUUCAUCGUACAUAACAAUCAUUUACAAUAAUAUUAGCAUG
ncrna:unclassified sequences S15-Flavobacteria ribosomal protein leader